AGUGAACGCUGGCGGUAGGCCUAACACAUGCAAGUCGAACGGCAGCACAGUAAGAGCUUGCUCUUACGGGUGGCGAGUGGCGGACGGGUGAGGAAUACAUCAGAAUCUACUUUUUCGUGGGGGAUAACGUAGGGAAACUUACGCUAAUACCGCAUACGACCUACGGGUGAAAGCAGGGGAUCUUCGGACCUUGCGCGAUUGAAUGAGCCGAUGUCGGAUUAGCUAGUUGGCGGGGUAAAGGCCCACCAAGGCGACGAUCCGUAGCUGGUCUGAGAGGAUGAUCAGCCACACUGGAACUGAGACACUGUCCAGACUCCUACGGGAGGCAGCAGUGGGGAAUAUUGGACAAUGGGCGCAAGCCUGAUCCAGCCAUACCGCGUGGGUGAAGAAGGCCUUCGGGUUGUAAAGCCCUUUUGUUGGGAAAGAAAAGCAGCAGGUUAAUACCCCGCUGUCCUGACGGUACCCAAAGAAUAAGCACCGGCUAACUUCGUG
rnacentral:rRNA from 1 species